rnacentral:ncRNA from 1 species
AUAAUAACGAUGCGAAGGAAUAGUAAUAAAUUCUUCAGGUGUAGCGAGACAGUGGUUGGUGAAAACUGUUCCUGGAUAUUUAUGAACUCACCUUUAAUGUUGCAGGAAUGAAGUGAAGUAAUUUUUGCCGUGAAUCCACGUUAGGGAUACAAAGAGAACGUGCGAUUUACGUUAAUUUGGGUGGUACCGCGGGAGAUAACAGCUUCUCGUCCCUUUA